rnacentral:rRNA from 1 species
UACAGAGGGUGCUAGUGUUGUUCGGAUUUACUGGGCGUAAAGGGAGUGUAGGCGGGCAUUUAAGUCAGAGGUGAAAUUUUGGGGCUUAACCCUGAACGUGCCUCUGAUACUGAAUGUCUUGAGUAUGGAAGAGGGCGAUGGAAUUCCUGGUGUAGCGGUGGAAUGCGUAGAUAUCAGGAGGAACACCGAUAGCGAAGGCAGUCGCCUGGGACAAUACUGACGUUGAAACUCGAAAGCGUGGGGAG